rnacentral:rRNA from 1 species
CAGCAGCCGCGGUAAUACGUAGGUCCCGAGCGUUGUCCGGAUUUAUUGGGCGUAAAGCGAGCGCAGGCGGUUAGAUAAGUCUGAAGUUAAAGGCUGUGGCUUAACCAUAGUACGCUUUGGAAACUGUUUAACUUGAGUGCAGAAGGGGAGAGUGGAAUUCCAUGUGUAGCGGUGAAAUGCGUAGAUAUAUAGAGGAACACCGGUGGCGAAAGCGGCUCUCUGGUCUGUAACUGACGCUGAGGCUCGAAAGCGUGGGGAGCAAACAGGAUUAGAUACCCCAGUAGUCCCUGUCUCUUAUACA